rnacentral:piRNA from 1 species
UUAUGAACAACUGGCUCACUUGUGUGG